rnacentral:rRNA from 1 species
UACGUAGGUGGCAAGCGUUGUCCGGAUUUAUUGGGUUUAAAGGGUGCGUAGGCGGCUUUGUAAGUCAGUGGUGAAAUCUCCGGGCUUAACCCGGAAACUGCCAUUGAUACUAUUUGUCUUGAAUACCGUGGAGGUCAGCGGAAUAUGUCAUGUAGCGGUGAAAUGCUUAGAUAUGACAUAGAACACCAAUUGCGAAGGCAGCUGGCUACACGAAUAUUGACACUGAUGCACGAAAGCGUGGGGAUCAAACAGG